rnacentral:rRNA from 1 species
UAAGCGGAGGAAAAGAAACUAACAAGGAUUCCCCUAGUAACUGCGAGUGAAGCGGGAAAAGCUCAAAUUUAAAAUCUGGCGGUCUUUGGCCGUCCGAGUUGUAGUCUGGAGAAGUGCUUUCCGCGCUGGACCGUGUACAAGUCUCUUGGAACAGAGCGUCAUAGAGGGUGAGAAUCCCGUCUUUGACACGGACUACCAGUGCUUUGUGAUGCGCUCUCAAAGAGUCGAGUUGUUUGGGAAUGCAGCUCAAAAUGGGUGGUGAAUUCCAUCUAAAGCUAAAUAUUGGCGAGAGACCGAUAGCGAACAAGUACCGUGAGGGAAAGAUGAAAAGCACUUUGGAAAGAGAGUUAAACAGUACGUGAAAUUGCUGAAAGGGAAACGCUUGAAGUCAGUCGCGUUGUCCAGAACUCAGCCUUGCUUCGGCUUGGUGCAUUUUCUGGGCGACGGGCCAGCAUCGAUUUUGACCGUCGGAAAAGGGUUGAAGGAAUGUGGCACCUUCGGGUGUGUUAUAGCCUUCAGCCGCAUACGACGGUUGGGAUCGAGGAACGCAGCGCGCCUUAUGGCUGGGGUUCGCCCACAUUCGCGCUUAGGAUGCUGGCAUAAUGGCUUUAAACGACCCGUCUUGAAACACGGACCAAGGAGUCUAACAUGCCUGCGAGUGUUUGGGUGGAAAACCCGAGCGCGUAAUGAAAGUGAAAGUUGAGACCUCUGUCGUGGAGGGCAUCGACGCCCGGACCUGACGUUCUCUGACGGAUCCGCGGUAGAGCAUGUAUGUUGGGACCCGAAAGAUGGUGAACUAUGCCUGAAUAGGGUGAAGCCAGAGGAAACUCUGGUGGAGGCUCGUAGCGAUUCUGACGUGCAAAUCGAUCGUCAAAUUUGGGUAUAGGGGGCGAAAGACUAAUCGAACCAUCUAGUAGCUGGUCC